AGAAAAUAAGAGAAAUACCACCAACUCCUAACUGCCCAUCUAAGAAAAACUGGAUGGUAUCCGCCACUCUAUCAAUCACCACAGCAAAGCUCACACCUUGAGCUCUUGUCUUGUAGUCUAAUGAUUCUGCAGCAUAAACCCAAGUCACUGGCCCUAAUCCUAUACUUCAAACGAACUAAGGAUCCCUAGCAAUCCAAAUAAGCUCACACCCACUAUACCAGUAUUGAUUGGGGCAAUGGUGAAGGCAAAUCCAAUGCCAAAGGAAUUGAGUAGAUGGCCUGUAAAGAUUCAGAUGUUGAGAUUCACCGUCAUCAGCCCCCAUCCAAAAUCUUCGAUAGCAUUAUCUGCGUACGUAUCUAAACAACAAUUAAGUUUGGAUCUGUAUUAGAGAAAUUGAGGCCAAAAACAAAACAGACGAUCUAUUGAGUAAGCUACUUACCGAACCCUACAAUAAAGAAGGAAAGGGAAGUAACCAGCGAGUAAAGCUCUGACUUCAUCAUUAAUUUACGCUGAAAUGAAUGUAGUAGUAACUAGGAGUGAUAUAUAUGCUGGAAUUAUAUUAUGUUGAUAUGGGGAAAACUGGAAGCAUAUAUAUAUAUAUAGCUCCUGUUGUGAGAAUUUGUUGAUGAAUGAAUUCAUGCAUGGUUAAU
rnacentral:lncRNA from 1 species